rnacentral:lncRNA from 1 species
AAGGUUUUUGACAAAAGUACAAUGGCAAAAAGAAGCAGAGGAAAGAAAAAUAAAACCUAAACAUUAACUCGAUCUAGUCUAAGAUGUAACAUUGUGUCAGGCAGAAACCAAUAUCAAGAGGCCUCAACUAAUACGCACUCACCGCUUGCCGCAAAAAGAGGAGUCACAAUUACAACGAAAGUCAGAACCCGAUAAUUAUGGCCUCCCGGAUGAACCGUUCUUAAAGAGCGGAAGACUUCCUGAAUAUCCGCCAACACGAACAGAAAGUCACCAAGGAGCCAAGCACUAAGAGGCCAAGCACCCGCAUCAACUCGACCAAACAUUUAUUCGGACGUGAACCCACCAAGGAGCCACACGCAAAAGACCUAUACAAAACGGUCUGAAAGCAGCAAAAACUCCACAAUAAGCACUCCAGGUCCAUUUCACACACCGGAAGAACACAUCCAUUUGAAAGCAGAAUGCCUAGCGACUGACUUCAGUGUUCUUUGUCCGAACAUUCCAAGAUUGACGCUAAAAAAAUCAUCAUCUCGGAAUACGUAUUAGAGAUUAAGUCUCCACAUCGGUAGUUAAAAAGAAUCUUUAGUGAUAUAUAAAAUAGACGGACCAAUCUACAUAUCAUCUAUUAGUUUUAGGUUGUAAUCUCAUCUACCUUAAACAUGGACGAUGCAUCGUGCCAGGAAUAUCUGUAUAUGUGGAUUAAAGCCGUAAAUGAUAGAAAGAAUGUCGUAUUAUAAUUCCAAACUACAUUACUUUUCAGUAAAAAGUUCUAUUGAACUGAGUUGCUCAGUUUCAUAGUCAAGAAUCAAGAUCUACAAUUAAGCAUGACACGAAACCAUUUCCCAAAAACAGUGGAACACGUCUGAUGGUUUCUUAUCACGUGGAUAUGGGUUAAUCUAGUAUCCUAUACGCAAAAUGUUGGGUUUUUUUCAGCUUUUGUUAAAUUCAUAAUAUUAUAAAUAUGUGCAUUUAGGUGUCAUGAAAUGAUAUUUGAUUCGGACAAGGGAAUACAAUACCUUUGGAGAGAAGACAAAGGAAAUAUAGCUGUCACAAACACGAGACCUUCUAACAUUUUUAUAUUUUUUUUUUCUUUUUUAUUACAUACAUAAUGUAAUGGAAGAAGAAGAAGAAGAAAUGACAUAUAUUUUCUUUUAUUACAUACAUA